CAGGACUCAGAAGGAUUGACAGAUUGAGAGCUCUUUCUUGAUUUUGUGGGUGGUGGUGCAUGGCCGUUCUUAGUUGGUGGAGUGAUUUGUCUGCUUAAUUGCGAUAACGAACGAGACCUUAGCCCUUAAAUAGAGUUGCUGGCAUUUGCUGGUAAAUCUUCUUAUGGGGACUAUCGAUUUCAAGUCGAUGGAAGUUUGAGGCAAUAACAGGUCUGUGAUGCCCUUAGACGUUCUGGGCCGCACGCGCGCUACACUGACGGAGCCAGCGAGCUUUUCCUUAGCCGAGAGGUUUGGGUAAUCUUGUGAAACUCCGUCGUGCUGGGGAUAGAGCAUUGUAAUUAUUGCUCUUCAACGAGGAAUUCCUAGUAAGCGCAAGUCAUCAGCUUGCGUUGAUUACGUCCCUGCCCUUUGUACACACCGCCCGUCGCUAGUACCGAUUGAAUGGCUUAGUGAGGCUUCAGGAUUUGCUUAGAUCGAGGGGCAACUCUCUUUCAGAGCGGAGAAUCUAGUCAAACUUGGUACAUUUAGAGGAACUAAAAGUCGUAACAAGGUUUCCGUAGGUGAACCUGCGGAAGGAUCAUUA
rnacentral:ncRNA from 1 species